UACGUAGGGUGCGAGCGUUAAUCGGAAUUACUGGGCGUAAAGGGUGCGCAGGCGGUCUCGUAAGCUGGGUGUGAAAGCCCCGGGCUUAACCUGGGAAUGGCAUUCAGGACUGCGAGGCUUUGAGUGCGGCAGAGGGAGGUGGAAUUCCACGUGUAGCAGUGAAAUGCGUAGAGAUGUGGAGGAACACCGGUGGCGAAGGCAGCCUCCUGGGCCAGCACUGACGCUCAUGCACGAAAGCGUGGGGAGCAAACAGG
rnacentral:rRNA from 1 species